ACUUUUCAACAUGCAGAGCAGCCACAAUGCAUAUUUCUAAUGGUGCGAAGACUUCAGAUAGAUGGCGAAGCUGCUUAGAGCAGACCCUACAAAUAACCAUAUGACCGAUAUCUUUUAGCAGAGCUAGAUUAGUUUGACAUGUUAAGAGAGACCAGAAAGCAGAAAGAGACCAUAUUUACAUGGCUGAUGUUUCAGGGCAAUGCAUUAUGAUACAGUAGUGAAAAUAAGAAAGCAAUAAACCCUCAGCAUGAAGUCAUUUCAAACCAGCUGUGGUCUCCAAUUUGAUUAGAUUUUGGAACUUACUUAGCCUUAUUCACAAGAGUUAAAUGACUGAUUUAUUGUCACUGAUUAACAGUGAGAGAAAAGGUUGAAUUGAACUGAAUGAAUGAAAAGAUCAGAGUUCUAUUUAACCAGGGCGCCCCUGGUGUAUUGCUAAGAGUCAAUAGCCUCAGACCUCUCCCUGGUGCUGUCCUCAGAGAACGGUGACAUAGUUCAUGGCAACACAACACUGAACUUUUGUCUGACACAGACUUUGGUUGCACAGAGUUGACUGCAGAAUGGAUUUCAUCUCCUCCAUAGUUGCUACCUGCAUAAACUGGGAUGUCAAAAGUCUGCUGCUCUUCAUAACUAUUUUUAUCCUCACUAUGGACUGCAUUAAGAACCGCCGGCCAGCCAGCUUUCCUCCAGGACCUUGGGCUUUUCCUAUCGUGGGUAACAUUUUCUCAGUGGACCACAGCAAGACCCAUGAAAGUAUGAUGCAGGUAAAUGGACCAGUUUAAAAAGAUCUAACCAACAGGUCAACUGAAAGAACCAACUUAAUGUUUCCAGUUAUAUUAAGCAUUUUAUUUUCCUCCUCUCUUAAAUCUGUUCAUAGUUAGCAAAGAAGUAUGGAGGUGUGUACAGCCUGCGAAUGGGCCAGGAGUGGCAUGUAAUCUUAAACGGGUUUGCUGCUCUGAAAGAAGCUCUUGUAAAUCAAGGAGACGGUCUAGCCGAUCGCCCAUCCCUCCCUCUGCUUGAGGACCUGAACCAUGGAUUCGGUGAGAGGAUUUUAAACACACAACAGGCAAAUACUGAGUCAGCUGGGGAAUAAAUGGUUAUGUUAGUGGGUCACUGUAUUGGCUCGCAUAAUUGCCCCUUUUGGGAAGUAACAGAUGAAUAUCUGAAAAACUCGGCUUAUUGAUGAGCAUUUUUGAAAUAUCAUGAGUAAACAUAAAAGGAGAUUAAAUAUAUGAAAAAAAUCUGUGAUAUAAUCAAGCUUGACUCCUUCAUUUGUUUUAGAACUUAAAGGUAAUAAUAUAGUCAAUUCAUAAAAGUUUUUCUGACUGUGAAACUGAGUAAAAUUGGCAACAUUUUUUCCAUUUUAUUGAAAAGAUUCAAUCACAGAUAUACACACAACAGAGACUGAUGAAUUAAAAACAUGUUUAUAGAAAAACUCUGAUUCUCCUCAGUAUUUUGCUGCUUAAUUUUCCCUCAUUCCUAAUGUACUUCCAAUCAGGGGUCAUUUUUACGAAUGGGAACAUGUGGAAACAACAGAGGCGUUUUGCGCUAUCCACCUUAAGACGUUUUGGAUUUGGCAAGAAGUCACUUGAACCAGUCAUCCUGGAUGAAUUCACACAUUUCUCAAAAGUCAUCCAGAGUUAUAAAGGUACAGAUUGAAUGUACAAUUAUACAUUUUGGCAGAAGAACCUGCACAUAAACAAACAAACAAAAAAACUAACUUUCUGUUUUAUUUUGAAGGGAAGCCCUUUGAUCCAUAUCUCACCCUCAACAAUGCUGUCUCCAACAUUAUGUGCUCCCUGGUUUUUGGGCAUCGCUUUAAGUACAGUGAUGAGAAGUUUCAGAGACUGAUGAGCUGCCUUGAUAAAGGACUUCAGUGUCAAGGCACAAUUUGGGCACAGGUAUGCUAUUUUCAAACGAUCCUGACAAAAUACAACUUAAGAUCUAAAAUGCCCAACAAAUGGGGGGGGGGGGGGGUCAAUAUUAAGAAUGCAUUUUUUUUUCUAUACCCUAAAAUCACUUUAUUUUGAAUUGGUUCUGCUCUGCAGUUACACAACUCUUUCCCCCGACUGAUGAGACGUUUACCAGGACCACAUCAAACAUUCCUGGAUAUUUUCAAUGAGGCAAAGGAGUUCAUAAGAGAAGAGAUUAAGAAGCACAAACAAGACUGGGACCCCUCUGACCAAAGAGACUACAUUGACUGCUACCUGAAUGAAAUACAGAUGGUGACUGGCACUAGAUACAUCUUUAAUUUUCACUCAUUAAGUAGUGUUCAUGAAAUGUAAAGAGGUCCAUUUUUGUAGGACACAUGUUUUUAAUUGUCACUUCUGAGGGCAUUUUAUCUUACAGAAUACAACUUACUUUAAACCCUGGAACAGCAGCUUGCAACACUUAGAGAUUAAUUUGGUGGCACUGCUGUCUAAUUGUUUUGAAUUACCAGAGCACUUUUUUAACACAUGUAUUUGGAUCUAUUCUUAGGGGAAGGGGAAGGCUGGCAACACUUUUGUGGAAGAAAACCUUGUGAUGUGCGGCUUGGAACUUUUUGUGGCUGGCUCUGAAACAACAUCCACCACCCUGCGAUGGGCUAUCCUCUACAUGACAAAGUAUCCUGAGAUCCAGGGUAAGAACACUAAUCAGUCCACUUCAUAUUUGAAAAUGUGCAAAUAGAUGAUUAACACAGAUAUUGGUGGCAAAAUCUUAGGGGUAAACUAAACAAUCACAUUUCGAUAAAAAGCUUAACUUACCUGGCAAAUAUUGUGCCAACACAAGUCCUUCAUCAACUCUAUGCCGCAGACAUCACACUCAAAAAAAGUGGAGAACACAGGGACUGGCCUACACACUUAAAUCAUCUGAAUGGUUUUUUAUCUCACAGCAAAAGUCCAGGCUGAGAUUGACAGAGUGAUUGGAAGGUCCAGACAGCUGUCAAUGGACGAUCGAGCACACCUGCCCUACACAGACGCUGUCCUUCAUGAGAUCCAGAGAAUGAGUAGCAUAGUCCCCCUUAGCGACCCUCAUAUGACCAACACGGAAAUCCAGCUGGAAGGUUACACUAUACCAAAGGUGACUUUUCAGAAAACGUGUUUUUAUGUCAGGAUAUCUUUAUACUGUAUAAUAUUAGCUGAACAGGAUUGUUUCCAGAUGAAAGUCUGCAUCCUGACUUUGGUCGAGGUUUAAAAUUCUCUGCUCCAAUUUUCUUGCUUAGCCAAGCACAACUCUGGCAGCCAAACAGCGAGUUCAUAAGUACUUGUAACUCAUAAAACUCAUGAUCCAAGAAACUGAUGGUUAAAAUCCUACAAUAAAAGAGGAGAUCGAUAGUAGCACAAUCCAAAAGCGUAGCUUGAAAAAUGUAAAACUGCAUUAAAAGUUGGUUUUAGGACAAGAGGCCGAACAAAUCUUGGACGUAUGUGCAUUCUUCAUGAUACAAAACAUUUGGUUCAGAUCACUCUGACAGUUGGUAAAUACUGUUUGUGUUUUGCUAUCAUGUUUUGUUGAAAUGCUAUUGUGUUUUCUGAUUUAUUGUGUUUUUGAAGCUCUGUGGAACAUUUGGACCUCCAGGGCUACAGUUAACAAUAUCACAAUAACAAAAUCAUUCUUACAAACAGGGGGUUACAGUUAUUCCAAAUUUGACCUCAGCACUAUAUGACAAGGAUGAGUGGGAAACCCCGUUCACCUUCAACCCAGGACACUUUCUGACUAAGGACGGCAAGUUUGUGAAGCCAGCUGCUUUCAUCCCUUUCUCUGCAGGUGAGGGUCAACACAGACCUUUGUUUUAUUUGAGUCUUUCUCUGUUACUCAAGAAGCCCAGAGGUUGCUUCAGCAAUCAUGAGGAACCAAUGGUGCACCACAUUUUUAUUUCACAGCGUUCUUACACUAUUUUAAGUCAAAUUUAAGGGCUUUUGAUAUGUUUUUAAGGACCUGCAAAAAUGUAGUUUGAGAGACCUAAGCAUUGAAAAACCAUCUUCGAUUGAAACUGGAACAUCAUUUUUGUACAUGAUGAACAUUAACUAUCACGCACGGACGCAUCUCGUUCACUCCAUCAUGUGUGACUAUUAACUGAAUAUUUAAUUUAAUGCGGUUCCAGCUGUGUUAGUUUGGUCAGGAUGAGUGUCCAAAUGCGCUCAUCUGAUAAGCUAUAGAUCAGAAUAUAUCAAUAUUGAUCUUGCACUGAAUAUUGCUUGUUGUUUAUUUAUUGCACUGAAAUGUGCCUGACACUGUGGAAACCUGCCAGUGAGGCUUUGGUGACAUAUGCGCACUACGCCGCUGGUCAACUAAAAUACCACUAGACUAGCUGCGCUCCGCCUGCACUGAAAGCUGCACGGGGUGCACCACCCUCCGCCACAAUGCCGGCGGGCAUGAAAAUAGAGCCCUAACUAUCAACCAUCUGCAUCUGCCUAAGCCAAACUGCUCCCUGAGUUCCUUCUUUAAGAACUCAACAAACUUCUGGUUGAUAUUAAGGCGCUCCAUUGACACCAAGAGCAUAAUGCAGCUGCUUUGCACAGUAGGCAUUUAAAUUAAUCAUGGAAACGACCAGUUCAAACAAUCCACAAUCAGGUGAGAGACAAGGUUGUUAGCCCCUAUGUCAUAGUGAUGCUGCUCUUAGCUGAACUUUCUAUCAAUCUUGUACACUUGAGUCUGACAUUAACGCUGAUCGGUGUAAAAGCUUUGACUGGCUGGGUGGCAUCACGGGCUCUAUUUUCAUGUACGCUGGUGAGGCGGCGGAGGGUGGCGGACCCCGCGCAGUUGUAUUUUCGUCUGGCGGAGCCGGGCGUACAGCCAGUUUGGUAUUUUCGUGGACUGAGGCGCACGGAGGCGAACCGAGAUCCGGUGGUGGCGUGGCAGGGGAAGGUGUCGACAGAAUCAGCUGGUGCAGUGACAUUUUCGUGCUCGCCAGUGGCGUGUGAUUGUAACUGGCUCGCUGAUUCAAACCUGGUCAGCUUUCAGCGCAGGCGGAGCGCAGCUGGUCUAGUGGUAUUUUGGUAGACCGGCGGCGUAUCGGCAUACAUCACCGCAUCCUCACAGGCAGGUUUCCACAGUGUCAAUUUCAGUGCAAUAAAUAAUCAUCAACAACUAUUAAUCUGAGUCAGCACAUACAUUUAGAUCUAUAGAUAUAUUCUGAUCCAUAUCUGAUCUGAUGAGCGUGUUUGGCACACGUUUGGACACACAACCUGACCGAAUCAACACAGCUGAAACUGCAUUAAAUUAAAUUAAAUAUCUAGUAAAUAAACACACAUGAUGAAGUUAACAAGAUUUGUAAUUCGUCUCCCUCCUUUUCUUUCUUCCUUUUAUUUCUCGCGCAGCUCGACCUGGACAUGUCUGCGUGUCCUCUCCCCGUCCUGCUGCAGCUGCUGCUGCUGCAGCGGCUGAACAGAUGAUUUGUUUCAGUGCUCAGAUGCGUUAUCUACUUUAAGCCGACAUACGGAUAUUAUAAUAUUCAGUUUUGUAAGCCAAAUUUAUUUUAUCUGCCAACAUUUAUGAAAGAAAGAGCCAGGCCACGGAGUGGGAUGCGUCAUUUAUGCACAGAUGGUUCCGAUUUUAAUGCCAUUUUUGGAGUUUAUGUUGUGAUCUGUGCGCUCAACCCACCUUUGUCACGUGAGGUUUGAAUAUAUGCAACUUUAUGUGAGUGUCUUUAUUUGUGGAAAAGGGUGUUUGUCUUACCAGUGGGUCCAACAUUACACACACCAAAUCCAUCUGUGCUCAUAUGAGAGAGUGUGGAGGACGCCCAAUGCAGCGCUUACAGUGACACUUGUUGAGGAGCUGCCUUCUGUCGCCAUCAUGUGGCAUUGCUGUCUUCACACAUCUCUCGAUCUCUUUGACUACUUAACGAAAAUAGUAAUAUGCCUCGCCGGUGGCGGAUUUAAAGGCAAGGAGAGGAGCUGAUGUGAUUAGUGAAAACAGGUCUCGGCUGUGUUAAACCCACUCCACGCCCUCUCUCCUCCCUCGCUACGACUUACGCCGCUGGGAGGAGCUGAGUUAGGGAGGAGGGAUACUUACGCCGGGCUGCGCCGCUCACCAAAAUACCAAAUUGUGCUUGGGAACGUCUUGGCGGCGCGGCGGACCCGACUUACGCCGCGCCUGCGGCACAUUUCUGGCGAGGCACGAAAAUAGAGCCCUAUGUGUUACAAUUUAAAUCACAGGCACUGGCUUCUAAACUUGCUAUUGCUAAGGUAAGACAAGCUGGGCUUAUCAAAAAAACAGACCUUCAAUAACAGGUCUAGACACCAACAGGACAAGAUAUUUUAUGCUCAAAUAAUAUAAUCUUGUGUAGCUGGUCAUAGUACUUCUUGAUCACUGUGUGUCGGUUUUACCAUCGCCCUUUUCUCUUUUUGCUCUCAAUUUUCUAUUACCCUUUCCUAUUAUAAUAAAGAUAGGAUCCUCAAAUGAACUUUCAGGUAAAUUCAAGACAAUUUAUGGCCACAAUUCUCUGAUUCUAAUUCUAAGAACAAUUGUUGGCCGCUUUAAACAUUGUCAGCUGGCCUAUUCCCGCUUACAGUCUACACAAGAUCAGUUUGGAUGGAUCGUCAAUAAAACUGGUCCAACAAGAAUUUUCAUUUCGGUGCAAAGUUUCCAAUGGUGACUUAAAAUAAAAAUAACCUUUCUUGAAAGAACUCCUGAAAACAAACAAUUCUACUAACAUAGCUUCCUCAGAGCCCAAACUUUAUCAAAAAUCCUUUUUUGUUUAAAUUUAUUUUCCUGUCUCAGGUAAGCGAAUGUGUCUUGGUGAAAGCCUGGCCAAGAUGGAGCUUUUCCUCCUCUUCACCUCCUUCAUGCAGCACUUCACCUUCUCCAUGCCUGCUGGAAUAAAGCCUGUGCUGGACUACCACUUUGGCAUCGUAUUAGCGCCACAUCACUAUGAAAUCUGUGCAACCUCACGCUGAGAGAAGCUGUAACUGAUAAAGAGUGCUGACAAAAGCAUUUUUUAUUUGUUUGUUUUCAACGGUGUCCACAUAUAUCUUGAUGAAGCAGUAAAGAAGAGUUAGUAAACCCUUGGCUUUCAAUUUAGAUCACAUUGUGAGAAGACCCUAGUUAAUAAUAUUUUUUAAUUGUUAAGUCAAUAAAGUUGAUGUCUUUGCACUUUUGUCGUGUUCGUUUGUCUCACCUUCUCAACAAGCUUUUGAUUGUCAUCCUAAAUCAGUAGUUUGCCAACUGUUGUCCUUGAAAUAAUGGGAUUGAAUAAUCCCAUUUCUUGACCUUGGCAUACCAACCCACCUCACUGUUUAGCAUACAAGCGUAGGGUAAUGAGUGCAGUUUCUUUUUUGUAAAGGGCCUUAUUCUCCUAUCAGUUUUUUUUAGAUACAUACUGAAAGGGUAACAGUGAAGUCAUAUACUCAGUUUUUAAUGUCCUUUCAAAGCAAUUACUCUCUGUUGGGAGUUAGGUUUAGCACACUUUGAAGCGUUAUAUUCUCCUUAAUUGUUUUCUUUAAAUUCAACUGACUUAUUUGACACACACAAAUCACACAGGAUUGAGAAGAAGAAUAGGAAGACAUGGUGUUCACGCAAAUUAAAAUAUUUAACUGACCACACUCACUUGACUCCUAGUAAAAAGGUACAUUAGUAGUUCUGAAUUCAACAUAGUGCUAAAAGUAAAACACGAACGAGCUGAUUUAUUCUAACCUUAUAUAUUUUAUGCACAAACAGUGAACAUUAAAAUUUUAAUUUUAAUAUUAUAACAUAUUCAGAGGGGACAACAGCAGAAAUGCUGCACUGUAACCAGGAAAGGACCCAAACCAGAUAAAAUGAGACAAAAAAAGUUUGAUCUGACAUUUAAGGGAAAAAAUUAGCAUGACAGUAGACAAUUAGCAUCACACCUCUUUGACAUUCGUAGUAAAGACGGGAUGUCCACUCCUUCCAUCAAUGCCCACUCAUUCAAUGCACGAAAUCACCAGAUUUACACUAAUCAAUGCACUGUAUUCUCUCACUUUGCUAGACCCCUCCUAGUUAGCAGCGUCAGAUGUCAAAGGGCUCAUCAGGGAUUGCUAAUGAAAGCUUGUACCAGACAUGUCACUGUGCACUAGAUCAGCUCCUUUUCAACAUGCAGAGCAGCCACAAUGCAUAUUUCUAAUGGUGCGAAGACUUCAGAUAGAUGUUGAAGCUGCUUAGGGCAGACACUUUAAAUAACUAUAUGAUCAAUAUCUUUUAGCAGAGCCAGAUGAGUUUGACAUGUUAAGAGAGACCAGAAAGCAGAAAAAGACCAUAUUUACAUGGCUGAUGUUUCAGGGCAAUGCAUAAAUGAUACAGUAGUGAAAAUAAGAACACAAUCAACCCUCAGCAUGAAGUAAUUUCAAACCAGCUGUGGUCCCCUAUUUGAUUAGAUUUUGGUACUUACUUACCUUAUUCACAAGCGUUAAAUGAUUGAUUCAUUGUCACUGAUUAACAGUGAGAGAAAAGGUUGAAUUAAACUAAAUGAAAGAAAAGAUCAGAGUUCAAUUUAACCAGGACACCCCUGGUGUAUUGCUAAGAGUCAAUAGCCUCAGGCUUAUCCCUGGUGCUGUCCUCAGAGAAGGGUGACAUGACCUAGUUCAUGGCAACAAAACACUGAACUUUUGUCUGACACAGACUUUGGUUGCACAGAGUUGACUGCAGAAUGGAUUUCAUCUCCUCCAUAGUUGCUACCUGCGUAAACUGGGAUGUCAAAAGUCUGCUGCUCUUCAUAACUAUUUUUAUCCUCACUAUGGACUGCAUUAAGAACCGCCGGCCAGCCAGCUUCCCUCCAGGACCUUGGGCUUUUCCUAUCGUGGGUAAUAUUUUCUCAGUGGACCACAGCAAGACCCAUGAAAGUAUGAUACAGGUAAAUGAACCAGUCUAAAAAAGAUAUAUCCAACAGGUCAACUGAAAGAACCAACUUAAUGUUUCCAGUUAUAUUAAGCAUUUUAUUUUCCUCCUCUCUUAAAUCUGUUCACAGUUAGCAAAGAAAUAUGGAGGUGUGUACAGCCUGCGAAUGGGCCAGGAGUGGCAUGUAAUCUUAAACGGGUUUGCUGCUCUGAAAGAAGCUCUUGUAAAUCAAGGAGACAGUCUAACCGAUCGCCCAUCCAUGCCUCUGAUUGAGGACCUGACCCAUGGAUUCGGUGAGAGGAUUUUAAACACACAACAGGCAAAUACUAAGUCAGCAGUGGGACUAAAUUGUCAUGUUAGUGGGUCACUGUUUUGGCUUGCAUAAUUACCAGUUCAUGUAACCUCCUUUUGGGCAGUAACAGAUGAAUAUCUAGGGACUGUAGUUGCUUGUUGAUGAGCGUUUUUGAAAAUAUCAUGAAUAAACAAAAAAAGGAGAUAAAAUAUACGAAAAACAUUUGUUUUAGAACUUAAAAGAAAUAUAGUAGUUGAUUCAUAAAAGUUUUUCUGACCAUGAAACUGAGUAAAAUUGGCAACAUUUUUUCCAUCUUAUUGAAAAGAUUCAAUCACAGAUACACAACAGAGACUGAUGAAUUAAAAACAUGUUUAUAGAAAAACUAAUUCUCCUUGAUAUUUUGCUGCUUUAUUUUCCCUUGCUCCUGAUGUACUUCUGAUCAGGGGUCUUUUUUACAAAUGGGAACAUGUGGAAACAACAGAGGCGUUUUGCGCUCUCCACCCUAAGACAUUUUGGAUUUGGCAAGAAGUCACUUGAACCAGUCAUCCUGGAUGAAUUCACACAUUUCUCAAAAGUCAUCCAGAGUUAUAAAGGUACAGAUUGAAUGUACAAUUAUACAUUUUGGCAGAAGAACCUGCACAUAAAACAAAAAACCCAACUAACUUUCUGUUUUAUUUUGAAGGAAAGCCCUUCGAUCCACAUCUCACCAUCAACCACGCUGUCUCCAACAUUAUGUGCUCCCUGGUUUUUGGGCAUCGCUUUGAGUACAGUGAUGAGACGUUUCAGAGACUGAUGAGCUGCCUUGAAAUAGCAUUCCAGUGUCAAAGCACAGUUUGGGCACAGGUAUGCUCUUUUCAAACUAUCACAACAAAAUACAACUUAAGAUCUAAAAUGUCCAAAAACACAUGGUUUUUUUUUUGGGUUUCAAUAUUAAGGAUUUAUUUCUACACCCUAAUAUCACUUUAUUUUGAAUUGGUUCUGCUCUGCAGUUACACAACUCUUUCCCCCGACUGAUGAGACGUUUACCAGGACCACAUCAAACAUUCCUGGAUAUUUUCAAUGAGGCAAAGGAGUUCAUAAGAGAAGAGAUUAAGAAGCACAAACAAGACUGGGACCCCUCUGACCAAAGAGACUACAUUGACUGCUACCUGAAUGAAAUACAGAUGGUGACUGGCACUAGAUACAUCUUUAAUUUUCACUCAUUAAGUAGUGUUCAUGAAAUGUUAAGAGGUCCAUUUUUGUAGGAAACGUUUUUAAUUGUCACUUCUGAGGGCAUUUUAUCUUACAGAAUACAACUUACUUUAAACCCUGGAACAGCAGCUUGCAACACUUACAGAUUAAUUUAGUGGCGCUGCUGUCUAAUUGUUUUGAAUUAUCAGAGCACUUUAUUCACACAUGUAUUUGGAUCUAUUCUUAGGGGAAGGGGAAGGCUGGCAACACUUUUGUGGAAGAAAACCUUGUGAUGUGCGGCUUUGAAUUUUUUGUGGCUGGCUCUGAAACAACAUCCACCACCCUGCGAUGGGCUAUCCUCUACAUGACAAAGUACCCUGAGAUCCAGGGUAAGAACACUAAUCAGUCCACUUCAUAUUUGAAAAUGUGCAAAUAGGGGAUUAACACAGAUAUUGGUGGCAAAAUCUUAGGGGUAAACUAAACAAUCACAUUCAGAUAAAAAGGGUAACUUAACUAACAAAUAUUGUGCCAACACAAGUCCUUCAUCAACUCUAUGCCGCAGACAUCACACUCAAAAAAAGUGGAGAACACAGGGACUGGCCUACACACUUAAAUCAUCUGAAUGGUUUUCUAUCUCACAGCAAAAGUCCAGGCUGAGAUCGACAGAGUGAUUGGAAGGUCCAGACAGCUGUCAAUGGACGAUCGAGCACACCUGCCCUACACAGACGCUGUCCUUCAUGAGAUCCAGAGAAUGAGUAGCAUAGUUCCCCUUGCCACGGCUCAUAUGACCAACAUGGAAAUCCAGCUGGAAGGUUACACUAUACCAAAGGUGACUUUUCAGAAAACGUGUUUUUAUGUCAGGAGAUCUUUAUAUUGUAUAAUAUUAGCUGAACGGAAUCGUUUCCAGAUGACAUUCUGCAUCCUGACUUUGGUCGAGGUUUGAAAUUCUCUGUAGCCAUAAAUUCUUCAUAAGUACUUGUAACUCAUAAAACUCACGAUACAAGAAACUGAUUGUUAAGAUCCUGAGCUCAAUAAGAGAUCAGUAGUAAACAGAAUCCAAAAAGCGUAGCUUGAAAAAUGUAUAACUGCAGGGCUACAGUCAACAAUAUCACAAUAACAAAAUCAUUCUUACAAACAGGGGGUUACAGUUAUUCCAAAUUUGACCUCAGCACUAUAUGACAAGGAUGAGUGGGAAACCCCGUUCACCUUCAACCCAGGACACUUUCUAACUAAGGACGGCAAGUUUGUGAAACCAGCUGCUUUCAUCCCUUUCUCUGCAGGUGAGGGUUUAACGCAGACCUUUGUUUUAUUUGAGUCUUUCUCUGUUAUUCAAGAAAUCUAGAGGCUGCGUCAGCAAUUAUUAGGAACCUAUGGAUCACCACAUUAUUAUUUCACGGGGUUCUUACACUAUUUUAAGUCAAAUUUAAGGGCCUUUUGAUAUGUUUUUAAGGACCUGCAAAAAUGUAAUUUGAGAGGCCUAACUAUUGAAAAACCAUCUUGGAUUGAAACUGAACGUCAUGGUGACGUACAUGGUGAACAUUAACUAUCAACAAUCUGCAGCUCGCCUAAGCCAAACUGGUCCCUGAGUUCCUCCUGUAAAGGCUCAACAAACUUCUGGUUGAUAUUAAGACCAUCCAUGGACACCAAGAGCAUAAUGCAGCUGCUUUGCACAGUAGGCAUUUAAAUUAAUUAUGGAAACGAUCAAUUCAAACAAUCCACAGUCAGGUAAGAGGGAAGGUUGUUAGCCCCUGUGUCACAGUGAUGCUGCUCUUAGCUGAACUUUCUAUUAAUCUUGUACACUCGAGUCUGACAUUAACACUGAUCGGUGUAACAGCUUUGACUGGCUGGGUGGCAUCAUGUGUUACAAUUUAAAUCACAGGCAUUGGCUACUAAAAUUGCAGCUGUUAAGGUAAAACAAGCCGGACUUAUCAAAAAAAACAAAAAAAAAAGAUAUUAAAUAACGGGUCCAGACACCAACAGGACAACAUAUUUAAUGCUCAGAUAAUUUAAUCUUGUGUAGCUGGUCAUAGUACUUCUUGACCACUGUGUGUCAGUUUUACCAUCGCCCUUUUCUCUUUUUGCUCUCAACUUUCUAUUACCCUUUCCUUUUAUAAUUAAGCUAGGAUCUUCAAAUGAACUUUCAGGUAAAUUCAAGACAAUUUAUGGCCACAAUUACUCUGAUUCUAAUUCUAAGAAGAAUUGUUGGCCAUUUUGAACAUUGUCAGCUGGCCUAUUCCCGCUUACAGUCUACGCAAGAUCAGUUUGGAUGGAUCAUCAAUUAAACGGUUCCAACAAGAAUUUUCAUUUUGGUGCAAAAUUUUGCUGGUGACUCAAAAAACAAUAACCUUUCUUGAAAGAACUUCUGAAAACAAACAUUUCUACUGACGUAGUUUUGCCUCAGGGUCUAAACUUUAUCAAAAAUUCUUGUUUGUUUAAAUUUAUUUUUCUGUCUCAGGUAAGCGGCUGUGUCUUGGUGAAAGCCUGGCCAAGAUGGAGCUUUUCCUCCUCUUCACCUCCUUCCUUCAGCACUUCACCUUCUCCAUGCCUGCUGGAGUGAAGCCUGCGCUGGACUACCACUACAGCAUCAUAUUAGCACCAAAUUACUAUGAAAUCUGUGCAACCUCACGCUGAGAGAAGCUCUGAUUGACCAAGAAUUAUCAAGGAGUUAUCAUCUUUUCUCUGUUGAUUCUUUUUUUUUCCCAAUGAUUUUGAAAUACUAGCAAAUGUAUAGUUUGUGUCAUUUUAGAUCACAUUACUAUGGGACCCUUGCAGUGGCGAUUGCUCUAAGACUGCAAGGGAAGCUCGGCUUCACUGGAGUUCUAUGGCGAGAGGGCGGUCCCGACUUUCUCCCGGACUCCGAACUUCUGCAUCCAUGAUUGGAUGAGCUGUCUGAGGCGAAAUCCUUUUUUGAUUGACAGCUAAACAAGCGAAUCAGCGAUCUUGAAGAAUAAAACAUCUACCAGAGCAUUUUCCAAGUUAUUCAUUCCGUUGGUCUUAACUGCUCCAGAGACUUUACCGAUCCUCAGCGACUUUUAUCUUUGUUAAAAACGACUGCCGUUGUGUUUGGCGACUCUGUUCUGUUACAUACUAAUAAACAAAUACAAUUAUGAUGUUGGCCAGAAAAAUGAGCUUCCCCUCCUUGAAAGACCAGCAGCCGCCACUGGACCCUUGCUAAUACCUGUUUUGGGCUGUAAAGCAUCAAUAAAGUAAACUUCUUAGCA